rnacentral:lncRNA from 1 species
CAACCUUCAAGGCCAGACUCAACCAAGCUUCUUCACUCAGAUCGGCCCAGUCCGCGACCAGCAGGCCCUCUCCUCUCAGGAUCAGCGUCCGGCCCGACUCUCGGCCCAGCCCAGUAUCCAGAGCCAUACUCAGACAGCCUAGCAGAUCCGCUCGAGCGUACGCACGAGGAGAAUCAGAGGCCGUUACGCAUGGAGCAGGCGGCUGAUACCCUCGUACGCCCGAAUCUGUAUGUCAGAGACG